GACAGAGGGUGCAAACGUUGUUCGGAAUUACUGGGCGUAAAGGGCGCGUAGGCGGCCUGCUAAGUCGAACGUGAAAUCCCUGGGCUCAACCCAGGAACUGCGUCCGAUACUGGUUGGCUUGAAUCCGGGAGAGGGAUGUGGAAUUCCAGGUGUAGCGGUGAAAUGCGUAGAUAUCUGGAGGAAUACCGGUGGCGAAGGCGGCAUCCUGGACCGGCAUUGACGCUGAGGAGCGAAAGCCAGGGGAGCAAACGGG
rnacentral:rRNA from 1 species